rnacentral:rRNA from 1 species
AGCAGCCGCGGUAAUUCCAGCUCCAAUGAGCGUAUAUUAAAGUUGUUGCAGUUAAAAAGCUCGUAGUUGAAUUUCGGGAUUGACACAUCGGUCGUGCCUUAAGGGGUGUGAACUGGUGUAGUCAAUUUCUCACCUUCUGGAGAACCGCGAUGUCCUUAAUUGGGUGCCGCGAGGAACCAGGACCUUUACUUUGAAAAAAUUAGAGUGUUUAAAGCAGGCAUUUUUGCUUGAAUACAUUAGCAUGGAAUAAUAAAAUAGGACGGCAUGAUUCUAUUUUGUUGGUUUCUAGGAUCACCGUAAUGAUUAAUAGGGAUAGUUGGGGGCAUUAGUAUUCAAUUGUCACAGGUGAAAUUCUUGGAUUUAUUGAAGACUAACUACUGCGAAAGCAUUUGCCAGGGAUGUUUUCAUUAAUCAAGAACGAAAGUUAGGGGAUCGAAGACGAUCAGAUACCGUCGUAGUCUUAACCAUAAACUAUGCCGACUAGGAAUCAGACGAUGUUAAUUUUUUAAUGACUCG